GACGAACGCUAGCGGCGUGCGUAAGAUAUGCAAGUCGAGCGGGGUUUCAGAGUCGAGUUUCUUUAGGGAGACAAAGCAUUGAAACCUAGAUGAGAACGGGUGAGUAACAUGUGAGCAACGUACCCUGUUGUCCGGGAUAACAGACCGAAAGGCAUGGUAAUACAGGAUACGAAGUUCUUUGGCAUGUUGGAGCUUGGAAAGGGGCAACCCGCAAUGGGAGGGGCUUACGGCCUAUCAGCUAGUUGGUGAGGUAACGGCCCACCAAGGCGAAGACGGGUAGCCGACGUGAGAGGGUGACCGGCCACACUGGGACUGAGACACGGCCCAGACUCCUACGGGAGGCAGCAGGCGGGGAUAUUGCACAAUGGGCGCAAGCCUGAUGCAGCGACGCCGCGUGAAGGAUGAAGGCCUUCGGGUCGUAAACCUCUGUUGUGGGGGACGAAGAUAGGACGGUACCCA
rnacentral:rRNA from 1 species